AACUGUUUCAGUCAAGAGGAUAUGCACAACUUAUUACUGCUGCAACUACCGAAAAACACACAUUGAUUGAUCACCUUUACAUAUCACAGCCAUACGCCUGCCUCCAAUCAGGUGUUCUGAAUACAUAUCACAGUUAUCACAACCCCAUUUAUUGUGUAAUUCACUAACACAAAAUGACUGCAAGGUUGUGAGGGAUAUGGACUGACCAAGUGAUCUUAGUGUCUUUGCAACUGAGCACACUCUACCAGCAACACUGACAGCUCACCAGUGGGAGCUGAUACAUAAGACUGCUCUCAUCCAUUGAAGAGCUGACCAGAAACGUGAACAGAGAGACUGCAACUGCACCUGAUGGGAUCCCUGCCAUAACAGAUGUGUUCUGUCCAGUGAAGGCAGUGGAGAAGCCCUACACUGAUCUUGAAACUGUGCCACGCUAGUAGAGACCGGCUACAAGGAUGGGCAGCUGUUUUCGCAAAGUCAGCCAACCACUUGCUUCCAAAUGACCCUUAUCCAGAAGUAUCCGUGAGUGCCUCAUCAACACAAACUAAAGUGGAGACCUACCUCUCAGAGAAAAACGCACACAUAAGAAAAGCUGACCCACUUCAGUACUGGGAAGAACAUCCUAAUCUGUUUCCCUCUAUGGCUGCUGUUGCGAUCCCAGUGUGCCCCCUGUAGCUCUGUGGACAGUUUUGGAUUGGUUUACAUCUCACCCAACCGCUCACAGCAGAUGGCUGCACCUCUCUAAGCCUGGUUCUGCUGGAGGUUUCUUCCUGUUAAAAGGGAGUUUUUCUGAACACACUCUACCACCAACAAGGACAGCUCACCAGUGGGAACUGAUAGAUAAGACUGCUGAUGUGCUCUCAUCCAUUGAAGAGCUGACCAGAAACGUGAACAGAAAGACUGCAACUGCACCUGAUGGGAUCCCUGCCAUAACAGAUGUGUUCUGUCCAGUGAAGGCAGUGGAGAAGCCCUACACUGAUCUUGAAACUGUGCCACGCUAGUAGAGACCGGCUACAAGGAUGGGCAGCUGUUUUCGCAAAGUCAGCCAACCACUUGCUUCCAAAUGACCCUUAUCCAGAAGUAUCCGUGAGUGCCUCAUCAACACAAACUAAAGUGGAGACCUACCUCUCAGAGAAAAACGCACACAUAAGAAAAGCUGACCCACUUCAGUACUGGGAAGAACAUCCUAAUCUGUUUCCCUCUAUGGCUGCUGUUGCGAUCCCAGUGUGCCCCCUGUAGCUCUGUGGACAGUUUUGGAUUGGUUUACAUCUCACCCCAACCGGUCGCGGCAGAUGGCCGCCCCUCCCUGAGCCUGGUUCUGCCGGAGGUUUCUUCCUGUCAAAAGGGAGUUUUUCCUUCCCACUGUCGCCAAAGUGCUUGCUCAUAGGGGGUCAUAUGAUUGUUGGGUUUAUCUAUAUACAUUAAUGCUUGUAUGCUUUUCAUUUAUACUUUUG